UGGAUCCGGCUGUGGUCCUGGUGCUCUGUCUCUCUCUGCUGUCUGCUUCUCCUCUCACUCUGGAAACAGAGCUCUGGGAAAGGGCAGCUCCAGCCUGGCCCCCACUCCUCUCCCAAUUCUUGGAAAUAUCCUACAGUUAGAUGUUAAGGACAUCGGCAAAUCCUUAACCAAUCUCUCAAAAGUGUAUGGCCCUGUGCUCACUGGGUAUUUUGGCUUGAAGCCCACCAUAGUGUUGCAUGGUUAUGAAGCAGUGAAAGAAGCCCUGAUUGAUCUGUGAGAAGAGUUUUCUGGAAGAGGCAUUCUCCCUGUGCCUCAAAGAGUUAAUAAAGGACAUGGAAUCCUCUUUAGCAAUGGAAAGAGAUGGAAGGAGAUCUGGCGCAUCUCCCUCAUGACCCUGCGGAAUUUCGGGAUGGGGAAGAGGAGCAUUGAGGACCGAGUUCAAGAGGGAACCCACUGCCUUGUGGAGGAGUUGAGAAAAACCAGUGGGUCACCCUGUGACCCCACUUUCAUCCUGGGCUGUGCUCCCUGCAAUGUGAUCUGCUCCAUUAUUUUCCAGAAUCGUUUUGAUUAUACAGAUCAGAAUUUUCUUAUAGGAAACUUUAAUGAAAACCUCAGGAUUUAUGAGCUCCCCAUGGAUCCGGGUCUGCAAUAGUUUCCCUGCUCUCAUGGACUAUCUCCCAGGGAGUCAUAACAAAGUACUUAAAAUUUUUGCUUAUGUAAAAAGCUAUGUUUUAGAGAAAUAAAAGAACACCAAGCGUCUCUGGACAUUAACAAUCCUCAGGACUUCAUUGAUUGUUUCCCGAUCAAAAUGGAACAGGAAAAGCACAAUCAACAGAUGGAGUUUACUUUUGAAAACUUGAUAGCCACUGUAACUGAUUUGUUUGGAGCUGGGACAGAGAAAACGAACACCACACUGAGCUAUGGGCUUCUCCUCCUGCUAAAGUGCCGAGAGGUCACAGCUAAAGUCCAGAAAGAGAUUGACUGUGUGAUUGGCAGAAACCAGAGUCCCUGCAUGCAGGACAGGAGCCACAUGCCCUACAUGGAUGCUGUGGUGCAUGAGAUCCAGAGAUACAUUGACCUUAUCCCCACCAACCUGCCCCAUGCAGUGACCUGUGAUGUUAAAUUCAGAAACUGUUUCAUCCCCGGCGGCACGACUAUAGUAACAUUGCUGAGUUCUGUGCUACAUGAUGACAAAGAAUUCCCCAACCCAGAGGUGUUUGACCCAGUCCACUUCCUGGAUGAGAGCGGCAACUUUAAGAAGACUGACUACUUCAUGGCUUUCUCAGCAGAAGAGAAGGUUUCUGUGGAUCCGGCUGUGCUCUUUCUCUCCUGUCUGCUUCUCCUCUCACUCUGGAAACAGAGCUCUGGGAAAGGGCAGCUCCCUCCUGGCCCCCACUCCUCUCUCAAUUCCUGGAGAUAUCCUUAAAUAUUAGAUGUUAAGGACAUCGGCAAAUCCUUAACCAAUGUAAGUAAAGUCUAUGUCCCUGUGUUCACUGUGUAUUUUGGAAUGAAGCCAACGGUGGUCUUGCAUGGAUAUGAAGCAGUGAAGGAAGCUCCGUUUGAUCUGGGAGAGGAGUUUUCUAGAAGAGGCAGUGUCCCAAUGCUUGAAAGAGCUACUAAGGGACAUGGUAGGUUAUGAAUCAUGUUCAGCAAUGGGAAGAGAUGGAAGGAGAUCUGGCGCAUCUCCCUCAUGACCCUGCGGAAUUUCGGGAUGGGGAAGAGGAGCAUUGAGGACCGAGUUCAAGAGGGAACCCACUGCCUUGUGGAGGAGUUGAGAAAAACCGACGGUGGGUGA